rnacentral:rRNA from 1 species
UCUGAAUCUGCGUACGGCUCCGCAAACCAGUUGUAAACCAAAGCAAGCAUACUCGGGGUUUGCCCUUCACGGGGUCGGCUACGGGUGAUACGGGUAACCCUGGUAAUUCUGAGGCUAAUACGAGAAUGUACUCCCUGGCUAACCGGGAAACUGGUAGGCUGGGGGGCGUGUUAUCUAUUUACAAGCCGAUUCCAGGAAGGGGUGCACGCUCUGACCGCGACAAAGACAGUUCUGACGGACCCUCACGGGCGAGUCGGUUCUGAGCGGCUCUUGCGAAGUGCUUCUGACCUAUCAACUAGACGGCAGCGUAACGGACAUGCCAUGGU